rnacentral:tRNA from 1 species
CUCGAUGUAGCUCAGUGGACAGAGCAGGCGGUUUCUACCCGUCAUGCCGGAGGUUCGAGUCCUCCCAUCGAGACAA